rnacentral:rRNA from 1 species
AGUCGAGCGGGGAAAGUAGCUUGCUACUUGACCUAGCGGCGGACAGGUGAGUAAUGCUUAGGAAUCUGCCUAUUAGUGGGGGACAACGUCUCGAAAGGGAUGCUAAUACCGCAUACGUCCUACGGGAGAAAGCAGGGGACCUUCGGGCCUUGCGCUAAUAGAUGAGCCUAAGUCGGAUUAGCUAGUUGGUGGGGUAAAGGCCUACCAAGGCGACGAUCUGUAGCGGGUCUGAGAGGAUGAUCCGCCACACUGGGACUGAGACACGGCCCAGACUCCUACGGGAGGCAGCAGUGGGGAAUAUUGGACAAUGGGGGGAACCCUGAUCCAGCCAUGCCGCGUGUGUGAAGAAGGCCUUUUGGUUGUAAAGCACUUUAAGCGAGGAGGAGGCUACCGAGAUUAAUACUCUUGGAUAGUGGACGUUACUCGCAGAAUAAGCACCGGCUAACUCUGUGCCAGCAGCCGCGGUAAUACAGAGGGUGCAAGCGUUAAUCGGAUUUACUGGGCGUAAAGCGCGCGUAGGUGGCCAAUUAAGUCAAAUGUGAAAUCCCCGAGCUUAACUUGGGAAUUGCAUUCGAUACUGGUUGGCUAGAGUAUGGGAGAGGAUGGUAGAAUUCCAGGUGUAGCGGUGAAAUGCGUAGAGAUCUGGAGGAAUACCGAUGGCGAAGGCAGCCAUCUGGCCUAAUACUGACACUGAGGUGCGAAAGCAUGGGGAGCAAACAGGAUUAGAUACCCUGGUAGUCCAUGCCGUAAACGAUGUCUACUAGCCGUUGGGGCCUUUGAGGCUUUAGUGGCGCAGCUAACGCGAUAAGUAGACCGCCUGGGGAGUACGGUCGCAAGACUNAAACUCAAAUGAAUUGACGGGGGCCCGCACAAGCGGUGGAGCAUGUGGUUUAAUUCNAUGCAACGCGAAGAANCUUACCUGNNCUUGACAUAGUAAGAACUUUCCAGA